UUUGCUGCUCUAAAAGUUCCCAAGAGCACAGUGACCUCCAUAAUUCUUACACGGAAGAUGUUUGGAACAACCAGGAUUCUUCCUAGAGCUGCCGGCGAUCCACCAAAAUAAGUAAUCGGGGAAGAAGAGGCGACAAAGAACCAAUUGGUUGGCCAAACUUCCAGGUCGCGGCCCAACCACAUUUCUGAUGACCUGUAAUCAUUGAAUGUUUCCUAUGGAAUAUACAGUAUCAGGCCCAUUUGGACGCCCAGAAACAUUCUCCCGGUAACACUCCAGGAAGAAGACGGACGGCCAUAAAAACAUGGCCAUCAAUAAAGAAUCGAGACUUCAGAAGAGCUCAGGAAUGAACUGGUGCUGACCAGGAUGAGAACAAUGGGAGCACAGGAUCGUCGGGAUGAAUGCUUUAUUGACCAAGAUGCAUCCACACUUGUCCGCUUUUGCUCCUAUAUGUCUAAAUAAAGCCAAGAAAUUUUUCACGUUAC